rnacentral:lncRNA from 1 species
AUGGACAAUCUGAAUUGUAAACUGAAACAGAUGUUAUCAGAGAGGGAGAGCAACAUGACGGAUUCUGGUGAAAGAGUUGGGAUGACGAGAAAAUACUCUCAGACAAAUAAGAGCAGUCAAUUGAACCAUGCUAUGUCUGUAAUGACGGAGAAUGAGGAAAAACGGACGCACAUCUCAUUCGCGGAUUGGUUAAAUGAAUUGGAAGUUAAAGUGUCCAAUAGUGGAAGUAAAAAUAAUCCGUUCAAGCAAAGUUUUGUUCCUUGCCCUCAAUCAGCUACAGUUAACGGACCUGCGCGUUGCUUUGAGCCGGGAAUACCACCACAGAUUAUGAGUGAAACCAACCCUUUCAAAAGUGUUGUGGAAAGUGAGUUUACAUGUGACAGUAGAAUUGACACACCAUGUUACAUACAGAGCACGCCAGCAAAUCUGAACUACUACCCACAAACUGUGUACAAAGACCUAACUGCUAAACCAAUGUCACCAAUUAAUCGCUUUCCACAUGAGAGUGGUACAGUCCAGCAUAGCGUUCCAGAGGCUGAAAAUAAAACUGCUUAUAUGAAUGCUGAUGAGAGUUGUUUUCCUGAGUUUAUAAGACAUCGCCUGCAGGGAAGAAAACCACGUCAGGCAUGUUAUGAUCUAUCAUCUGACAGUGGAGAGGAAUGCAGUACCCCAAGAGAAAGAAUUCCUACUCUCCGACCAGGUCAGUUUGAUGGAUCAAUGUCAUGGAGAGAGUUCUUAAAUCGGUUUGAGGAUUGUGCCAGAGCUAAUCACUGGUCUGAAAGGACAAUGACUGUGCAGAUGAGGUUUUGUUUGGUCGGAGCAGCAGGUGCAGUGAUACAUAAAAACCCCAGGUCGGGUAGAUGGGAUUAUGCUCGCAUUGUGGAGGAAAUGGAUGCCGCGUACGGCCCGUCAUCUGAGCACGCAGCUGCCAUUGGAAUAGAGCUGAGGCAGAGGGUCCACAAGGCAGGUGAGCCGCUACAUGUGUUAAGAGAUGAUAUCUAUGAAAAAGUCUCCAUUGUCUAUGCAGAUCGCUCUGAAAGAGAGCAGGACUCCAUCAGCGUUGAAGUGUUCACUAACGCCAUGGGGGACGCUGACAUUGUGCAAAGACUGCUGGAAGAGCGCCCACGUACACUGUGUCGUGCUUACGAUAUUGCUCAUAGAUAUGAGACCACACGACGAACUGCCGCUAGUGUAACACAACUCAUGCAGUCGGCCACAAGGCCAAUGGAACGGAGAGCCAGAGCAGCAGCAGUCCGUGAAUGCCCCGAACCGAGUGAAAGUGAAGGAGAGGGUUCGGUGUCGCCACACUCUGAUCAGAGACAGAAAACAUUCAGAAUGGAAUCUAAACCGCGCCAAUUAAGAUUCAAUAAACGAGGGAAAAUUAAUUGGGAAGAGAUCGUAUGCCACAACUGCCAAGGCAUUGGACACAUGAGACGGAACUGCCCUUCACCCAGGCUCGAUCUGCCUCGUGUAGCUCCAGUACUACACCAUUGUGCUGACAUCCAACCUACCUCCACCGUUCUCCAGGUAAAGGGCGCUGGUCCUGAGAUGUGUAUACACACAUUGUUAUACAGCAUGGAGCUAUGUGCUCUCUUGGACAGUGGAGCGAGAAGGAAUGUGCUACCCCGUCACUGCUAUGAGACUAUUCAUGAAGGAGUUCGACCCCCACUUGAACUAUCGACAGUACAGGCUCUGCAAGGAAUAGGUCCUAUAAAUGUGAAUGUUCUUGGGGAAGUCCACGUGCCGAUACAGGUUGGAACACACACAGUCAGCGUUAACUUCAUUGUGGCCGAUGUAACCGAGGACACAGAAACCAUUCUUGGACAUCCGUUCCUGGAACAAGCCCGAGCACGUCUCGACUUUGGCAGUCAGAAAAUUGUACUGUUCGGUGAGCAGAUACCUUACUUUAAUCCCAAAAACAAACCCAGGGUCCACAUUGUUAGAAUAGCACGCACCGCUGUUCUGGAAGCAGGACGUGAAUAUAUCGUGCCAGGAAAUGCACAUUUCCGAGAGCAUGUGCAGGGCAAUGUGUUACUGAGUCCAACAAAAGGGUUUAUGGAGAAACACAGAGUGUUGGUGGCACGGAUUGUAGUUGACGCUCAACCCAAUAAACAGAUUCCAAUAAGACUGUAUAACCCAGGCACCAUUGCCGUGCAAGUAAGGAAGGGGGCCAUUGCCGGGUUUCUACAACCUGCAAAUGUCGUAAAGGUUGCCAAUUCCGAGCUGCCAACUGCGAGCCCAACCACUACAACUGUUCCAAGUCAUUUACAGUCUUUAUAUGCUGAGAGUAUAGUGCAUCUGGGGAAGUCGGAUCAAGAAGAGCUAGCAGAACUCCUAAGCACUUAUGGUGAUGUUUUCUCAGCUGGACCGAUGGACCUGGGUCGCACAAACCUGGUGCAACAUGACAUCCAAACACGACCAUGUCCGCCGGUAAAACAGCAGCCCCGAAGAAUGGCCUUUGAGAAACAGCGCAGUGCAGACGAACAGAUCCAGCAAAACCUUGACACUGGUUUAGCUGCCCCUAGCCAUAGCAGCUGGGCUUCGCCAAUUGUUAUGGUUCGGAAGAAAGAUCAGACAUACAGACUGUGUGUGGACUAUAGAAUCCUGAAUGAACGCACUAUCAAAGAUGCUUAUCCCCUUCCGCGAAUCCAGGAUACUCUGGACACUCUGUCUAUGGCGAAAUGGUUUAGCACCCUGGAUCUAGCUUCAGGCUAUUGGCAGGUGGAGUUAACUCCAAGGGCACGGCAGGCUGCUGCGUUCUGCAGCAGGAAGGGGUUAUUUGAAUGGAAUGUGAUGCCAUUUGGGCUGUGCAACGCCCCAGCGACAUUCCAGCGCUUAAUGGAUCGUGUCCUGGCUGGCCUUACUAAAUUUUGUACAACUAGAUGGAAAAGUACAAAACGCAUAAUUAAUCAUGCAUCAUUCAAGACACAGCAAUAUAAUUAUUUCUAUACAGGACAGAUUUACUAA